rnacentral:rRNA from 1 species
GUGCCAGCAGCCGCGGUAAUACGGAGGAUGCGAGCGUUAUCCGGAUUUAUUGGGUUUAAAGGGAGCGCGGACGGGUGAUUAAGUCAGCUGUUAAAUUUCGGGGCCCAACCCCGUUAUGCGGUUGAUACUGGUUAUCUUGAGUGCGGCAUGGGCAGGCGGAAUUCACGGUGUAGCGGUGAAAUGCUUAGAUAUCGUGAAGAACUCCGAUCGCGAAGGCAGCUUGCCGGACCGUUACUGACGUUUAGGCUCGAAAGUGCGGGUAUCAAACAGGAUUAGAUACCCUGGUAGUCCGCACAGUAAACGAUGGACACUCGCUGUCGGCGACAGACAGUCGGCGGCCUAGCGAAAGCGUUAAGUGUCCCACCUGGGGAGUACGCCGGCAACGGUGAAACUCAAAGGAAUUGACGGGGGCCCGCACAAGCGGAGGAACAUGUGGUUUAAUUCGAUGAUACGCGAGGAACCUUACCCGGGCUUGAACUGCAUAUGACAGACUGAGAGAUUGGUUUUCCCUUCGGGGCAUAUGUGGAGGUGCUGCAUGGUUGUCGUCAGCUCGUGCCGUGAGGUGUCGGCUUAAGUGCCAUAACGAGCGCAACCCCUGCUUCCAGUUGCCAUCGGUUCGAGCCGGGCACUCUGGAGGGACUGCCGCCGUAAGGUGUGAGGAAGGCGGGGAUGACGUCAAAUCAGCACGGCCCUUACGUCCGGGGCUACACACGUGUUACAAUGGGGGGUACAGCGGGAUGCCACCGGGCAACCGGGCGCCGAUCCUGAAAUCCCUCCGUAGUUCGGAUUGGGGUCUGCAACCCGACCCCAUGAAGCUGGAUUCGCUAGUAAUCGCGCAUCAGCCAUGGCGCGGUGAAUACGUUCCCGGGCCUUGUACACACCGCCCGU